CAGGACUCAGUAGCCAGCAUUCCACGUGGAUGCUCCUGGUCCUGCCUCGUUGUACUUAAGCCACAUUUGGCGCUGGCUGAGGGGUUAUUGUCUGGUCUCUCCUUCCCAUGCGGCUUCACGGCCAGUGCGUGUCAAGCUUGAGGUUCCUGUGGCUCCACGGUGGUCCUGCCAGGCAGCCUGCCGCCCUUGCUCUCCGCUGCCUCGAGACCGUUACAAAGGCUGUACGUAGUUUAAUAAGCCCCUGGUUAGCCUGUACAUUGGGAAACCUUGACCAGGAUCGCUAAGAUUCCUGGGGCAGAGCUGGGCCGUGGCCUCCCCUGCAGGGCCCGGCCAGGUGCUGAGGGGCCAGCCUCUGGCUCUGGGCCCCUCCGCACCCCCGACCUUCCCGCACG
rnacentral:lncRNA from 1 species